rnacentral:rRNA from 1 species
ACUCCUACGGGAGGCAGCAGUGGGGAAUAUUGCACAAUGGGCGCAAGCCUGAUGCAGCAACGCCGCGUGAGCGAAGAAGGUCUUCGGAUCGUAAAGCUCUGUCCUUGGGGAAGAAACAAAUGACGGUACCCAGAGAGGAAGCCCCGGCUAACUACGUGCCAGCAGCCGCGGUAAUACGUAGGGGGCGAGCGUUAUCCGGAAUUAUUGGGCGUAAAGAGUACGUAGGUGGUUUUGUAAGCGUGUGGUGAAAGACCGGGGCUUAACUCCGGUUAGCCAUGCGAACUGCAAGACUUGAGUGCAGGAGAGGAAAGUGGAAUUCCUAGUGUAGCGGUGAAAUGCGUAGAUAUUAGGAGGAACAUCAGUGGCGAAGGCGACUUUCUGGACUGUAACUGACACUGAGGUACGAAAGCGUGGGUAGCAAACAGGAUUAGAUACCCUGGUAGUC